AGGGGAGGGGAGUGAAAUUUAACAUUUGGGUUGCAUUCAAAAAGUAUUGAAUAUAUCAAUCACCCUUA
rnacentral:tRNA from 1 species